UAAGGAAUCUUCCACAGUGGGCGAAAGCCUGAUGGAGCAACGCCGCGUGUGUGAUGAAGGGUUUCGGCUCGUAAAACACUGUUGUAAGAGAAGAAUGACAUUGAGAGUAACUGUUCAAUGUGUGACGGUAUCUUACCAGAAAGGAACGGCUAAAUACGUGCCAG
rnacentral:rRNA from 1 species